rnacentral:rRNA from 1 species
UGCAGUCGAGCGGAACGAGUUAUCUGAACCUUCGGGGGACGAUAACGGCGUCGAGCGGCGGACGGGUGAGUAAUGCCUGGGAAAUUGCCCUGAUGUGGGGGAUAACCAUUGGAAACGAUGGCUAAUACCGCAUAAUAGCUUCGGCUCAAAGAGGGGGACCUUCGGGCCUCUCGCGUCAGGAUAUGCCCAGGUGGGAUUAGCUAGUUGGUGAGGUAAGGGCUCACCAAGGCGACGAUCCCUAGCUGGUCUGAGAGGAUGAUCAGCCACACUGGAACUGAGACACGGUCCAGACUCCUACGGGAGGCAGCAGUGGGGAAUAUUGCACAAUGGGCGCAAGCCUGAUGCAGCCAUGCCGCGUGUAUGAAGAAGGCCUUCGGGUUGUAAAGUACUUUCAGCAGUGAGGAAGGUGGUGUACUUAAUACGUGCAUCAUUUGACGUUAGCUGCAGAAGAAGCACCGGCUAACUCCGUGCCAGCAGCCGCGGUAAUACGGAGGGUGCGAGCGUUAAUCGGAAUUACUGGGCGUAAAGCGCAUGCAGGUGGUUUGUUAAGUCAGAUGUGAAAGCCCGGGGCUCAACCUCGGAAUUGCAUUUGAAACUGGCAGACUAGAGUACUGUAGAGGGGGGUAGAAUUUCAGGUGUAGCGGUGAAAUGCGUAGAGAUCUGAAGGAAUACCGGUGGCGAAAGGCGGCCCCCUGGACAGAUACUGACACUCAGAUGCGAAAGCGUGGGGAGCAAACAGGAUUAGAUACCC